UACGAAGGGGGCUAGCGUUGUUCGGAAUCACUGGGCGUAAAGCGCACGUAGGCGGAUCUUUAAGUCAGGGGUGAAAUCCCGAGGCUCAACCUCGGAACUGCCUUUGAUACUGGGGAUCUCGAGUCCGGGAGAGGUGAGUGGAACUGCGAGUGUAGAGGUGAAAUUCGUAGAUAUUCGCAAGAACACCAGUGGCGAAGGCGGACUCACUGGCCCGGUACUGACGCUGAGGUGCGAAAGCGUGGG
rnacentral:rRNA from 1 species